rnacentral:rRNA from 1 species
AUGGACAAACGGCUCCUGCAAGCAGCCAUUUCUGGUAAUUCCACAUCAAUGAAGGAGAUGGCUUCAGAUGAUCCAAGCAUUCUUCUUGGAACAACUCCAGCUGGGAACACUUGUCUUCACAUAUCAUCCAUCCAUGGCCACCAGGUAUUUUGCACGGAUGUGGUGGCCCUAGAGGAGUCUCUCCUCGUCGCCGUAAACUUGGAUGGGGAGACGCCACUUCUUGUCACGGUGAAAAGUGGCUACAUCUCCCUGGCUUCUGUUCUACUCAGAUGCUACCACGCACAACGAUUGAGAGAGGCAAUGUUGAAGCAAGACAUUGAUGGCUGCAACGCGCUCCACCAUGCCAUUCGUAGCGGCCACAAGGAGCUCGCGCUGAAGCUGAUAGAAGCAGCGCCGGAUCUGUCGACACAUGUGAACAAAUUGAAGGAGUCACCCAUGUUCGCCGCGGCCAUGAGAGAUUUUUAUUGUGUGAACAUUAUAAUUAUUUUUGUUUUGGUUGAUGUCGUUCUGUGGCAUCAAUCCGGGCCUGUUCUUUACUGUGAGAAUAUUAUAACUAAUUUUGUUUUGCUUGAUUUCAUCCUAUCGCAUUAA